GCCUCGCUCUGCCCAGCAUGUUUAUGAUCUGCAUCGAGUGGUGGACUUUUGAGAUCGGGAGCUUCCUGGCAGGGUUAAUGAGUACAGUGGAAUUAGGCGCUCAGUCCAUCAUCUACGAACUGUCGACCAUCGCGUACUUGCUGCCACAAGGGAUGAGCGUGGCCUCCAGUGUCCGUGUGGGGAAUGCCUUAGGCGCCGGGGACGUUGACCAGGCCAAGAGGUCGUGCAUCAUGGCC